UUUAUAGUCGUUGUACUCUAUUGUUAUAAUAUGUAUUUUUGACUGAAUACAUGUUUGUUUUAUUUGUCUAUAUCCUAGAUUCGCAGCUGGACACAUCCUUCUACACUGUAUGCAAACAUGCAACAUCAUUACACACAGUACAAGGAGUCAGACUGGCAUAUGAGGAGCAAAGGUGUUUAACACAUAUUAUGUAUUUACCUAGUGAAACCACUACCAGUCUUAAAUGUAUAACUGAUGAUGACAAAGUUUUUUUUCUCUGCAUAAUAAUAGGAACCCAGGCAGUAGCAUCGUUUCACAAUGUUUCCAUCAUCAUCAUCAGUGGAUGCCUUUGCCGUUCGUAGCCUGAGAUUUCAGAUUUGCAGCAAAAAAAAAUGAUUUUCUCAUUUAUUGGAAUGCUGUGCAGGUAUUUGUACCUUGCAGCCAUCCAUUACAAUGUCACCAAGCCGUAACAAAAGCAGGAGAGGGAAAGUACAAGGCUAUGUUCCCAAAACACACAAGUGACAUACCUUAUGUGGAUGAUGUGAUCAGGCUUGUGUUUGAUGAGGUAUUUGAAGAUAAGCUGAAGGAAACCCCGAUUCCAAUGGACCUGGCAUCACAGUUUGAGAGACCUUCAAAGGAGGACGUGAUUGCAUGCCAUCUUCAGUGCAG